UCCAGCCGAGCUCUGGCCACUGCUCUCACACAAAGCAUUUCCAGUGCAAUGGAGAUGUCACCAUUUCAAGGGGCAUUGUGGUAAGUUCUUCUAUUUUCCUUUCCAUGGAGCUGUUCCAUGAGCUGCACUGGAGCACACUGGGCCAAAAAAAAAAAAAAGUCUUCAUUUAAUGAGCUGAUUCUUUUAUUGGGCUGAUUUUCGGCUGCAUUUUACCUUUCAGCACACAGGAAGUUCAGCUUUUAAGAAGUUUAUUUCUUUAUCAUGCAUUCAUUUCCGAAGGCUUCACUGGGCUCCAGGGUAGGUUUCUGUUUGGUUUGGGACUUGGAGAAAUGAGCCUUUGAACUGCUCUGCUGUGGGGAAGGUACUGUUUGUUAGAUGGCUUUCUGUGUUGCAUAACUCACAGAUAUCAUCCAGCAUUUAAGAAAAUUGAUGGACUUUAUUUUUAUUUCACCCCCUCCUAAACCCUCCCCAUCUUCUGUGUGAUUUUUUUUUUUUUUAUGGUCCAUGAUUGGAAGCAAAAGGUCUAAAAGAGAGAGGAAAUCAAGCCCGUCAAUAAAUGCUAAAAAUAUUUAGUGUGGCAGCCUCUGUAUUUUCUUUUUUGUGAAACACUGAUUAAUAUUCAGUGGUUGAAGGUUAAUACCCCAUUCAUUUUAUUCCCUUUACAUCCUCUGCACAGCAGUUGCUGCUCCAAUUUCGACUUCUAAUUCAUGCAAAUCUGGUUCCAAUCAGGAUAUUAGGAACUCACUGCAUAAGCAGGAGGAGAGGGUUUUUUUUUAAAAAAAAAAAAAAGAAGAAGAAGAAAUCACACAAUUGUUAAACUUAUCUUUCAGUACAAGUGUAAACACACACAGGGACACUCCAAAUCCACAAGGUUGCUGUAAGGAAGGGGUGUUAAUUGUGCAUUUCUCUCCUCUUUUAAAAUACAGUGAGAACAUCCAUGUAGAAGAUUUUUGGCAGACUUAACCAGAAGUUAUUGUUGAUGCAGCAGCAAAAGUCUCUGGCCUGGGUUACAAAGGAGAUGGAUGAUAAUAGCUCAUGCUGGGCUUAAAAUCUAGGAUUCAGUGCAGGGACAGGAGUUAUCUGUGCUCAGGUGAGGUUAUCCAGCCCAGCCUGGGGCAUGAGAUCUGCUACAUGAAUAAUGCAGAAGAAAAAAAAAAAAUCUCCAAUAAUCUCCUCUUUUUUUUUUUCUUUCUUUCUUUGUUUUUACUGUGAGUGCAAAGCAGUUUCCAUCAGUGAAGUGGCUGCUUCCAGCCCUUGGGUGUUGUUUGUGGCUGCCUGUGCCUGACUUUUCCAUCCUCUCUGGAGGGCAGUGGGUUCCCCAUUGUGUGGCUGAGCACUGCUGGGAGAAAGGGCUUCCCUGAGGCUGUGGGGCUGGAUUUGGGACCUGUUUUGUUUGUUUUACAAGGAAGGUGGUGGGACACUCUAGCAGAUUGCCCAAAGAAGCUGUGGAUGCCCAAAGAAGCUGUGGAUGCCCCCAUCGCUGGAAGCAGUCAAAGUCGGGUUGGACAAGGCUUGGAGCAACCUGGUUUAGUGGAAGAUGGCCCAGCCCAGGGUGGGUUGAGCUGGGUGAUCUUUGAAGGUCCCUCCCAACCCAAACCAUCCUAUGGCCUUGGCCAGUGACCAUGAGGAGGUGGCAGUCCAAGAUCUGGUCUUCAUCCAUGCAUUGUUGGAGCAGGAGACACUUAUGCAUGUGCUGGCCCCUCCGGACCCCCCAGGAGCAGCCGUGCUCCCUUCCUCCGGAAGAUGCUGCUCCUAUGGCAUCUUCCUCAAAGGAAAGAGCAUUUUCUCCCUCCGUGGAUCACUGGUGGCUUCAACUUUUCAAAAUAAGCAAAGGCUCCAGCACAGCCCUGCACGCACUGUCUAGCCAAAAUGCAAAACUUCACCACAGUGCACAAGUGGGCUGUGUUUUUCCGACCAGGGAACAACGUUAGAGCCCUUUCAUCACCUUUCUUCUGCACUUCUUUAAAAAAUGAUUUAAAUUGGAGGCAAUAGUAUUGAACCUCUGACACUCAGACAAGACUCUCUGAAUCAGACCCUUCAACUUAUUCCAUAUUCUAUAACCACUUUGCUCGCAGCCCUUGUGGUUUGUUUUGUUUUUUCUCCGAAGUGUUUGUUCUUUCCGCUCUGUUUGCUGUUUGUGCCAUCUCUGAGAGAUUUCAUUUAAUUUUUUGCCUUGAUACAGGAGAGCACUGGUGACCACCAGGGGUUCGUGUCUCAGUCCUACUGCUGAUGCACUCCACAAACCCAGGAUUGCUGCCAGCCCUUCUCAAGCAGCAGUUUUAAAAUUGUGGUGCUGAACCCUCGGUCCCCACAUCUACUGCCGAGAACACACAGUGGAGGGAAGUCAAAUUCCAGAUUGCUCAGCAGAAAGGGAAAACCAGCUUGGAAGCCCCUCUGGAAAAGGGCCAAACAAUAAUCUCAUGCUGUGUGGGUGAGAAUGGCAACAUCUCCCUUGGAUUUAGAUGGAGCAAGAGCUGCUCGCACCCACUCGGCCUCCUGCCUGUGAUAUUUACAGCCCUGAUUUUGAACCAGCUGAAUGAAAAUACUUGUGGGCAGCAAAAAUAGCCAGUGCUGAAAACCUGUGUCUGCUGAGGGUGGAAAUUGCUGGGAGUUCCUUGGUGGCUGCAGCAGAUCAUUAUAACCAGUGUCAGAAAUAAAAAGUGGUGGCACCAAGCUGGUGCAGCUCAGGCAUGGUGCUGCAGCCCAGCAGCUCUGGGGAUGCUCUGGUGGCUCAGAGAGAAAGAUGCCAUUUUUUGGGGGGAGGGUUUAAAAAAAACCAAACAAACCACCUUGCAUUUUUCUGUCACAUCAGCACAGUAUGCAGUGUGAGGGAGGAGUUUGUCACCCCAAAUAUUCAUUUAAUUUCUGCUCCCUCCUCGGGAGCAUGGCCCUUGGUUUUGUGAUGCCAUGGUAGGAGUGGGAUGAGGUGGAGCCACUGAGGUUACUGCAUCCACAGCAUGUUCACAAGGUGGAAUUUAGCCCUGUGGGUGUGUAAACAUGCCAUGCAAAUCCAAAUCUUCUAUCAGUUGGCAAGAUACAGUUGAACAAUGUCAACUGAAGCCCUGGAGGAAAACAUUAACACUGUGUAAACCUCCUGCUCCCCUGGAGGGGAGGGCAGCACUGGAGCUGCUGGAGCCUCUUCCCAUGGGAAGGACAAGUGGGCUCAUCUCUUGGCUCUGGGGCAAUGCCCUGGAGGGAACAGGGAGGGGAGAGCUGCCCUAGAUUGCUGUGGGAAUGCAGAGGAUGUUUUUGCAUUUGAAGGGCUGUUCCCUUGCCAUUGGACUUUGGCAGCUGCAAGGAAGCUCUUAGCCUCUCCACUAGUGGGGCUGUCUGGUGCCAGAGAUGGUGAUACCAUCUCCAGUGGUUUGGUAGGCAGAGCCUAGUGCCAGUUAACUGGGUGAUCUGGGAUAUGUCCCAGUAACAUUUCCUAUGCUGGGAGGGCAGGGAGGAGGGAUGGAGGCACGUGUCUGUGUACACAGCAGCUGGGGCUGCUGCCAGGGCUCCUUUGCCCGAGCAGGGUGAGCCUGACUUUAGCCUUAAAGUGCUCUGGGCUCCUUUGCUGGGUGGUGCUGGAGAGGCACAGGAUGGCAGGGCCACACCAGUAGCUGCACUGGUUGCAGGGACGCCUUGGCUUGCCCUGCCCGGGCUCUGCCUCUCCCUGCAGCACUGCCCAUCAGCUGGUGGUACCUCUGCACUGCCUCAUUCACUUGGUGUGCCCAGGGCUGGCUCUCACAGCCCAUGUGGAAAUGCUUGAGCAGCCACUCUAACCUUUGGGCUGCAGUAAUUAGCCUCACAUGGCAUCUGAGCCGCAACAUGUGGCCCAGCCCAUUACUCUGCUUUAGUUGCUUGUUAGGCCCUAAUCUCUGUUUGAUUUCAAGGUGAAACCGAUUUGAGUUUCCUGAGGUUUCUCAGAGGAGCUGCAGGGGUGCUGCCCCCCUCCAUCCCGCUUGUCUCCCGCAGCUCAGCCUGUGUCUGGAAGGAGGAAGGAGUCAGAGAUCACCUGCUGAAUCCGCUCCUCUGGUGCCACCCCCCUCACCACGAUGCUGUGGGGAAGAGAGGUGACGUUUGGUGAUAUUUGCUCCUUACAGACCUGAAGCACCCACGGGUUCGCUCAGGAGCAGCGGAGUCCCCGGUCACCUCGAGAGGAAGGUUUGCAUCCUGCCUGCAUGCUCCUCGCAAAUGAAACCCAUUCAGCAUCAGAGAUGUUUUCCUGAGCACCUCCAGCUGGUCCAGCCCCUCUGAAGGUGGGAGAGGCUGUGUCACGAGUAUUUGGAACCUGGUAAAGACUCUGAAGGCUGCAGAGGGGUGAAGAACAGAUAAGAUGUUCCCUCUGGAUUUGCUGAGUAGUUCCCUGACAUGAUGCACAUCACCUUGCAGCUGUGGCCCUCAUUUUCCUCUCUGUAUUCAUCCAGACAUCGCUGUCGGAGCUUGGACCACAGGAAGGAGACCCUUCAAGGACUUGCAGCAACUGAGAGCCACCUGGAAGUGCUGGAAGCUCUUCAUCAUGGAAUGUUUGUCUGGGUCCCAGGAGAUCAGUUGCAGAAGAGCACAUUGGCCUGAUGAGAAGAGGGGAGCUUUGCCCAAUUCCUGGUCUUCAUGAAUAUAAUUUUUAAACAACAACAACGAAAUGCUCUGCUCGGGCUGGCCAGGCCUCAAGUUGCUUUCAGCUGCACCAGGACCUCAGCCAGCCUCGCUGAGCAUGUCAUCCUGUGGUUACAGCUCCUCUGUUUGUCCAUUGAUGCACACACGUCUGUUGGGUGGUUGAAGUUCUCAGCAGCUCUGCUGGAGCACAACUAACAGAAAGGAAGAGAUUCUGGGUUACAAACCCAACCCCAGAGCAGUUCCCGCCGUCCCAGCUCAUCCAUAAGGAUCCGGCCAUCGCGUGAUACCAGAGUCAGGAUAAAUAAGACCUGCAGCUCUCUCCACGUUUCAAAGGAACUGAGCCUCCUUUUGCUAUCUAAGGGAUUAUUCAGGUUCCUGUGUGACUCAGUACUCAUUGGUUCUUCAUUGGACCAGGCUCUUGGGGUGGAAACACUUGGAGCAAACAAUGAAGUGAGGCUGUUUAUGAAGCCUUCAAACAUUAGGCUGUGGAGAAGAGCCCAAGUUUCCAUGUAGAGGCCUGAAUGGACAAGAAUGAUGUGAAACACAUGGAAAAUGUGGAAUAAGCAAUAAAAUUAUAAAUAAAACAAAUACAAUAA